rnacentral:rRNA from 1 species
UACGGAGGGUGCAAGCGUUGUUCGGAAUUAUUGGGCGUAAAGGGCGCGUAGGCGGUUAUGUAAGUCAGAUGUGAAAUACUUCGGCUUAACCGAAGAACUGCAUUUGAUACUACAUAGCUAGAGUACAGAAGAGGGAAAUGGAAUUCCCGGUGUAGAGGUGAAAUUCGUAGAUAUCGGGAGGAACACCAGUGGCGAAGGCGAUUUCCUGGUCUGAUACUGACGCUGAGGCGCGAAAGCGUGGGGAGCAAACAGG